AGUUUGAUGUGUAAUUGGCAUCCUAAGCUAUACAAUGUUAUUAUAUAUACUGCUGAAACACAGCAGCACAUACAUCAUCGGAAAAUAAUGAAAGCAACCAAAUGCUACAUAUCAUGAAUUAGCCCUGGGGAAAAAAAUCAAGAUCACUUACCAACUAAUAAUAUACAUUUAGGUAAAGUAUGAUGACAUUACUGCUCCAUUCCAGGUUAAAGUGAAACCCAACAAAAAGGCAGAAACAGAUAUCCCACCAGGCAGAUUCUUUUUUUUUUUUUUUAACCAUGAGAAGAGAUUCUGAGUCUCCACAAAGUCAACAAAUAAAAGUAAGAUCCAAGUGUCAUCUCUUCUUCUUUGAUGCAUGGGAACUUGGCUUCGAGAAUAAAUUCAUCUUGAAAAAUCCAGAUGUCUUGGAAGAUUUCUUUUCUUUAGUGUGUUGGCUUCCAUCUCUACUGGUAUCAACAUCAGACUGAAAGCAUUCUUGUUCAUUUCCAUGGUCUAUAUCUCUCAGCUGCCGAAGCAAUUCCAAGGCAGUUGCCUUUGCUCUAUCGUUUCCAUUGACGGAUAUAUCAACAAGGGAAGGAAUAACACCUUCAACCAUGACCAACUGACAAUAUUGGAUACGCUGAGAGCAUAAAGAAAGAAGAACAGCCACUGCGAUGCUCCUGUUCCUCACGACUGCCACUCUCAAGUAGUUCAGCAACUGAAGAAAUAAAUCCAUUUGUUUCAACAACAGCAAUCCUAGCCUUUUCAGUUUCACACAAAUUUUUCAACAGAACCAUACAAUAUCUUGCAAUUCUGCCUUCAUUUAUGAGAGGAACCAACUUUGGGAUGCACUCCAAAGAUAUAAUUUGGGAACAAAUAUCACAGUUUGAGGACAGAUUAUGCAGAAUUUUAAUGGCUCCCUCC
rnacentral:misc_RNA from 1 species